rnacentral:misc_RNA from 1 species
CGCACCAGCCGUUCGGACCAAUAGAAUCCUUGGGCUAACACGGGGCACGGGAGACUUCUGUAAGAAAAGUUUAGUUCGGGCAAAGUGGGACAAGGACCACGCCCGGUCAUGUUUCCGCAUAAAAAGAUUCAGGCACCACAAGAGCAUCCACACCUCGCAAGCAUAAAAUACAGGCAAGGGCAGACGUCAAAGUGAGCUUUUAUGUCAACUCGCACAAAACAGGCAGCACGAGACGAUAAGGGACAGUCGGACAAUCAAAUUCCUUUAGAAUAGGUAUGCUGCACAGGGGCCAAGACAGCCCGAGUCAAUUAAUUAGCUCUGGGACAAUAUUGAAAAGAUAUGAACAAGCGGCUGUCGCUGCCAAGGCAGGGAACCAACCAACCGGUUCAAACC